GGAGAGAUAGCGUGCGGAGCGUACAGGUUUAGAUACCCUGUUAGUCCACUCUGUAAACGAUGAGUGCUAAGUGUUAGGGGGUCUCCGCCCUUUAGUGCAGCAGAUAACGCAAUAAGCACUCCGCCUGGGGAGUACGGUCGCGAGACUGAAACUCAAAGGAAUAGACGGGGCCCCGCACACCCGGUGGAGCAUGUGGUUUAAUUAGAAGCAACGCGAAGAACCUUACCAGGUCUUGACAUCCUUUGACAACCCUAGAGAUAGGGCUUUCCCUUCGGGGACAGAGUGACAGGUGGUGCACGGUUGUUGUCAGCUCGUGUCAUGAGAUGUUGGGUUAAGUCCCGCAACGAGCGCAACCCUUGAUUUUAGUUGCCAGCAUUCAGUUGGGCAAGAUAAGGUGACUGCCGGUGACAAACCGGAGGAAGGUGGGGAUGACGUCAAAUCAUCAUGCCCCCCAUGACCUGGGCUACACACGUGCUACAAUGGACAGAACAAAGGGCUGCAAGACCGCAAGGUUUAGCCAAUCCCAUAAAUCUGUUCUCAGUUCGGAUCGCAGUCUGCAACUAGACUGGGUGAAGCAGGAAUCGUUAGUAAUCGCGGAUCAGCAUGCCGCGGUGAAUACAUUCCCGGGCCUUGACACCCCGCCCGACUCACCAGGAGAGUUUGCAACAUCCGGAAGCAAG
rnacentral:rRNA from 1 species